GACGAACGCUGGCGGCGUGCUUAACACAUGCAAGUCGAACGGAAAGGCCCUGCUUUUGUGGGGUGCUCGAGUGGCGAACGGGUGAGUAACACGUGAGUAACCUGCCCUUGACUUUGGGAUAACUUCAGGAAACUGGGGCUAAUACCGGAUAGGAGCUCCUGCUGCAUGGUGGGGGUUGGAAAGUUUCGGCGGUUGGGGAUGGACUCGCGGCUUAUCAGCUUGUUGGUGGGGUAGUGGCUUACCAAGGCUUUGACGGGUAGCCGGCCUGAGAGGGUGACCGGCCACAUUGGGACUGAGAUACGGCCCAGACUCCUAUGGGAGGCAGCAGUGGGGAAUAUUGCACAAUGGGCGGAAGCCUGAUGCAGCAACGCCGCGUGCGGGAUGACGGCCUUCGGGUUGUAAACCGCUUUCGCCUGUGACGAAGCGUGAGUGACGGUAAUGGGUAAAGAAGCACCGGCUAACUACGUGCCAGCAGCCGCGGUGAUACGUAGGGUGCGAGCGUUGUCCGGAUUUAUUGGGCGUAAAGGGCUCAUAGGUGGUUGAUCGCGUCGGAAGUGUAAUCUUGGGGCUUAACCCUGAGCGUGCUUUCGAUACGGGCUGACUUGAGGAAGGUAGGGGAGAAUGGAAUUCCUGGUGGAGCGGUGGAAUGCGCAGAUAUCAGGAGGAACACCAGUGGCGAAGGCGGUUCUCUGGGCCUUUCCUGACGCUGAGGAGCGAAAGCGUGGGGAGCGAACAGGCUUAGAUACCCUGGUAGUCCACGCUGUAAACGGUGGGUACUAGGUGUGGGGUCCAUUCCACGGGUUCCGUGCCGUAGCUAACGCUUUAAGUACCCCGCCUGGGGAGUACGGCCGCAAGGCUAAAACUCAAAGGAAUUGACGGGGCCCCGCACAAGCGGCGGAGCAUGCGGAUUAAUUCGAUGCAACGCGUAGAACCUUACCUGGGUUUGACAUGGAUCGGGAGUGCUCAGAGAUGGGUGUGCCUCUUUUGGGGUCGGUUCACAGGUGGUGCAUGGCUGUCGUCAGCUCGUGUCGUGAGAUGUUGGGUUAAGUCCCGCAACGAGCGCAACCCUUGUUCACUGUUGCCAGCACGUUAUGGUGGGGACUCAGUGGAGACCGCCGGGGUCAACUCGGAGGAAGGUGGGGAUGACGUCAAGUCAUCAUGCCCCUUAUGUCCAGGGCUUCACGCAUGCUACAAUGGCUGGUACAGAGAGUGGCGAGCCUGUGAGGGUGAGCGAAUCUCGGAAAGCCGGUCUCAGUUCGGAUUGGGGUCUGCAACUCGACCUCAUGAAGUCGGAGUCGCUAGUAAUCGCAGAUCAGCAACGCUGCGGUGAAUACGUUCCCGGG
rnacentral:rRNA from 1 species